rnacentral:rRNA from 1 species
AACGUUACCAAAGUGUUGCCUCGGCGGGAUCUUCUGCCCCGGGUGCGUCGCAGCCCCGGACCAAGGCGCCCGCCGGAGGAAUCAACCAAAACUCUUAUUGUAUACCCCCUCGCGGGUUUUUUUUAUAAUCUGAGCCUUCUCGGCGCCUCUCGUAGGCGUUUCGAAAAUGAAUCAAAACUUUCAACAACGGAUCUCUUGGUUCUGGCAUCGAUGAAGAACGCAGCGAAAUGCGAUAAGUAAUGUGAAUUGCAGAAUUCAGUGAAUCAUCGAAUCUUUGAACGCACAUUGCGCCCGCCAGUAUUCUGGCGGGCAUGCCUGUCCGAGCGUCAUUUCAACCCUCGAACCCCUCCGGGGGGUCGGCGUUGGGGAUCGGCCUUCCUUCACGGGGGCCGUCUCCGAAAUACAGUGGCGGUCUCGCCGCAGCCUCUCCUGCGCAGUAGUUUGCACACUCGCAUCGGGAGCGCGGCGCGUCCACAGCCGUUAAACACCCAACUUUCUGAAAUGUUGACCUCGGAUCAGGUAGGAAUACCCGCUGAACUUA